ACCUUGAUCUUCAUGCUCGACGGUGCCAGUGCCGUGAUCUCCUUGCUCAUCCGGUCUGCGAUCCCCGGGAACAUCGUCGAUCCUCCCGACAGCACAAUGUUCCCGUACAGAUCCUUUCGGAUAUCCACGUCGCACUUCAUUAUCGAGUUGUACGUCGUCUCGUGGAUCCCCGCAGCUUCCAUCCCGAUCAACGACGGGUUGAACAGCACCUCCGCGCACCUGAACCGCUCCGCCCCGAUCGUGAUCACUUGUCCGUCCGGUAGCUCGUAGCUCUUCUCCAACGACGAGCUGCUCCGUGCCGUGUCCAACUCCUGCUCGAAGUCCAGCGCCACGUACGCCAGCUUCUCCUUCAUGUCCCGAACGAUCUCCCUCUCCGCCGUCGUCGUGAACGAGUACCCUCGCUCUGUCAAGAUCUUCAUCAGCGCGUCCGUCAAGUCGCGCCCCGCCAGGUCCAACCGCAGGAUCGCGUGCGGCAGCGCGUAACCCUCGUAGAUCGGCACUGUGUGCGUCACACCGUCUCCGCUGUCCAACACAAUACCCGUCGUCCGCCCACUCGCGUACAGCGACAACACUGCCUGAAUCGCCACGUACAUCGCCGGCACGUUGAACGUCUCGAACAUGAUCUGAGUCAUCUUCUCCCUGUUCGCCUUCGGGUUCAGCGGGGCCUCCGUCAGCAGCACUGGGUGCUCCUCCGGUGCCACACGCAGCUCGUUGUAGAACGUGUGGUGCCAGAUCUUCUCCAUGUCGUCCCAGUUCGUCACCACUCCGUGCUCGAUCGGGUACUUCAGCGUCAAGAUACCCCUCUUCGACUGAGCUUCGUCGCCGACAUACGCGUCCUUCUGUCCCAUACCGACCAUCACACCAGUGUGCCUCGGCCGUCCCACGAUGCUCGGAAACACGGCGCGGGGGGCGUCAUCUCCAGCGAAACCAGCCUGCAUAAAAUCCGCACGUGAUUACUCAUCAUGUUACAAGAGAUGUGAACUCCAGACAGAUGAAGUGAUGAUAAAAAUUGAGGGUACGCAAGUUAAGGUUAUAUUCAUUUGAGUAGAAUUAUUGAAACAGAAAAUUAUCUUCCAGAGGGUGCGAAGGUAAACACAUCCUAAUUUGGAGUCAAAUUCCAGGAGUUACAAUGUGUAUCAUAACAAGAAGGGGAACGUGAAUGUUCGUGUGAGGGUAAAAAACAGUAGACAGUGCAUACCUUGACCAUUCCGGAUCCAUUAUCGCACACCAAAGGCUGGACAUCCUCACCUUCCCCCGCCAUUUUUUAGAAUGAUCCUACAGGAGUUCAAAAACAGUGCAAGUGCUCAAAAACAUUAGUUAACGAGAGAAUGAGUUAAAUUUUGUAGCACGAUUAAGAACGAAAGCAAUGAUAGAUUCAGUUACAUUAAGUAAAAGGUACUCGAAGUACGAACAUCUUCUAAUAAGGUCAAAUUAAGUAGGAGAAUAUGCGCCAGCAUAUCAGUCAUAGUUCACUAGAUAAUAAACCCAGGUAAUAUGAUUACAUCAAAGACUAACAAAAACCGUGAUAUACAGAGCAAUAUUUGUAAACUUGAUGAAGAAUAAACUAAAUCAGUGGAAAAGAAAAAGCCGGUAGGAAACCUUAAUCACUCAAAUUAGUGACAACAGGUGCGACCAUCAGUAACUGAUGCGCAGACAUUGUUCUCAGUCAACCGUGGGCAUGGGGCGACCUUUCAAACAAGGUGCAUUCAAAAAGGAUGAAAUUUUUAUUCGAAUGCCGAAAGAUAAGAUUCUUUAUUCUACCUAACAUAUAUCCCGGACUCUACAACGAACUGAAUACAAGUAUGAAGUGCACGCAAUCAGUUUGCAUGCCAUUGUUACAUGUAGUCAACUCAGCACAUGUAACCCCUUAAGGCACUUCAGUCUACGGUUGACGGAAAAAUCCAGCCACGUAGAUGAAGCUAAUGACGAUCCGGAAUGCAAGGCUCCAAAGUAUGAUAACCACAUCAAAUGAAAACUGUUCAUCACAACAAGGGGAUAGCACUUCUCGAAUCCCUACACCACAUAUCUCAGCACAAGAUCUACAGAUAACAAGAAAUCAAUAACUAUAGUCAUUCGGCAAAAGAUUCAACUCAAACACCACGCCUAGACGCGCGGCACGCUCAUGUGAAGCACAAGCCUACACUAACGCAACGCUGCUGAGCGCAUCAGCAGACAAAGGCCAAAAAUACUCCUCCAAGAACACGUUAAUCGCCACACAGAACUAAACAAGAACAAAGACGACCAUACAUCCAGCGACCGUGCACAACAAACCGAUCGUCGGUCACCACACAUACCAAAACCGAGAACACCGAUAGAACAGAAGCUCUCACCUUAAGAGAACCGGCACCAGCGCUAAACAGAUGAGGAGAGAGAGAGAGAGAGAGAGAGAUACACCGUGCUGCAGAAAGGAAUGCGGGAGCGAACUGCAGUGCUUGGUUGACGAGCGAGGGGCACAACGGACGGCCAAGCAGCGCAGGGCAGCGAGCAUAGCAACAAUGGGAAAAAGUAGGAGCAGUACGAUGCACAAGAGCGAGCGAUAGAGAACCAGAGAUAACCCCACGAGAACGGGUCGCGCAACGCAGCCCCCGCGGACCGGAACCGGACCGGGCCAGGCCGGGUGAGUGACUACUCCUACUCCCUCCCUCCCUCAACUUGAGCAGCGAGUGCGAGGGAAGUGAAGAGCACUCACCAAAAAGGGGGGUUGGUUCCCAGGUUGGCAGGAGUCUGGGCCGGGCCGGCGACAGGCGGUCGAGAGAAAAGGGGCGAGGGAAGGGGCAGGAGGGCAGGGCACCCGCGUGUCGCUCAGACGUGUCCGGCCCAUACGAUUUGGGGGUGUGUAUUUGUUACUGCCCGCCACUCGGGCUUGCCUGGUUAUACCCCCCUCCUGACCCGGUUUUGUAGUGUGUAUGUAUUGAAGUCAUCAAAUCCCUAUGUAUACAUGUAUGUAUUUUGUAAUGUAUUGCAGAGAGUAGAGAGGGGGCGAGGCCCGUCCAUGUGCCCACUCAUUCAUCGGUUAUAUUAUUCAUCCAUCAAGAGAAGAAUUAGAAGGAGAAGGAAGAUCCUAUAUUCAAAAACCAGUGUGGUGGGCAUUGAAUCUUUACUAGUGGUGGUGGGCAGGUGCCAUCAGGUGGAACCAACCCCCUUUCCCAUGCCAGUUUCAAAUUCCUGGCUCUCGCUCGGGUGGAGCCUCGUUCACACCUGGUGCCCUAAUCCUGGGCGGCCCCACAUUGGACUUUGUUCACACGGGAGCCCCCCUCCCUCAGGGAUUCAACCCUAACUGACUGCAGCAUAUAUCGGUAAAUAUGGGCAAAGUAAGGUGUGUUCUUGUGGGUAUCGAAGGGCAUUGGACACCUUGCUAAAUGUGUUUCCAAAAUAUUGGUUAAAAAAUCUCUUUGUAUUUUUGUCCAUGUAUGAUUUUCAAAACACGUGUGAUUGUGUCAAAAUAUUUUUUGCAAUUGAUUUUUAAUUAUAUAUAUGGAAUUUUUAAAUUGACCCAUGAAUUUAUUAAAUUAACCCAUCCAUUAUCAUUGGUUGAGAAGCCAACCAUUUUUUCAUUGGUUUUCAACCAACCUGGAUUUGAUAGCGGAAUUCUUUUUAUGAUGGUUAGAAUGGGUGGGUUGAUUUAGUAAAUGUUUGGGUCAAUUUUACAAUUUACUAUAUAUAAAAAAAUCUUAUUUAAUUUAAUUUAAUUUAAUUUUUUGCUCAAAUGUGUUACAUAUACAUUCCAUCUCAGACAAUACAAGGCUUGCAAUUAUCUAAUUUUGGUAACAAAAUAAAGAUAUCAAAUACAAACAAAAACUUUUCUUUUUUCUUUUUUCUUUUUUUUGUAGGAUAUAAAUGGUCCAAAUUGUAUUUAUCACAUGGUCAUAAUUAUCUCUGGUGCUUGUAUCAUGCAAAAUCUAAAAUCAUUUAUUGUUUGCUUGUUUUGUUUGAUUGUAUUUUUUGUUUUUGUUGUUGUAGAAGUGCAUGCAAACAGAGUAUUAGCAAUCAUAAUGUUUUCAUGUUAAAUUUAUUUGUGCAGUGCUACUGAUUGCCGCAAUCCAAUUCUGUCAGUCUGUCUCCUUUAACCCGGUGACUAAUGUAUUUUAAAUAAUUGUAUAAGUUUUGAAUUGUUUUAAAUUAAUAUCAUUUUCAUGCCAAUGUUUAUACAUUUUUAAUUUUAAUUUUAAUUUAUUUUGAAUCUAUUUGUCGAUAUGACUAGACAACAAUAUUUGGUGGAUCAACUUUUAUUUAGUGGAACAUUACUUUUCCAAUGCAUUCCAGGUACAAUAUGAUGGUCAUUAAUAACCAUUGGCAAUUAACAUGAUUCAACAAUAAAUGAAAUGAAUUCAAUUGCACUAUGCUGCUACUGUAUCAUGAUACCAAGUAGAUAUAAGAUUAUAUGCGAGUGCCUCAUUUUGUUUAAAAGUUAAAGUAAAAGAAAUUGUGUAACAUCACAUUACAUACUAAAUAGAGAAUGCUGUUGUAUUAAGUUGUAUUGGAGCUAUAUUUUAUAAUUAAAGGUAUUAAAGUAAAUGAUAUUUUCAAAGAUAAAUUUGUAAUAUGAAUGUUUUGGACAUGAAAUUUACAAUUUUAAUAUCUAACAUGACAUUUACAGAUUUUAAAACUAAAUGUAUAAGAUUUCAAGGAAAAUAAAAUAAUUUAUUUCAUAUUCUUGUCUCAUUCUUAAUCUCAAAAUCUGAAAUUUGAGUAAAAAAUUACACAAUUUAUAAAAAAGAAAAAAAAGAAAAAAUAUAUUUGUAAAAAUCACUUAAUAAAUAAAAUGAAGUAUUAUCAUAAGAUAGUAUUGGUUAAAGAGGUAUAGAAUACAUCUUGAAAUUAUAAUUGGUAAGCUAUAUUAUAUCUUGAUUAUGUGUAGGAUUGUUUUUACGAACCAAACUUGUUAUUUGAAGAGAAUGCUUGUGAUAUUUAGUUCACACUUUCUUAAAGGAUAAAAGAUUAGACCUAUAGUAUAGAGAGUGGUAUCAAAAUGAUUACAUAUUUGUGUAGAAAUAUAAAGCUACAUUAGAUUAGAAUAUUUGCUUAUGUAAAGAGCUUAACAAUAAUAAUUUUUGGAUAUGCAAAUGCAUAGAAUAUAAAAGAUUUAGAUUGAAAUAAUACAUUUAUUGUAUAAUUUAGGAGCCUUGUUUUAUUUAAGAUAAGGUGAGUAUAAAUUAAGCUAUUUUAUCUUAUUAUUUUAUUUUUUAUUUUUAAACAGAUUUGUUUUUUUUGUAAUUUUGCUAAUGGUAUAGAUUACACACAAAAGAAGGAAUAUAGAAAGUAAUAACAGACAACUAGAGAUGAAGUAAUAGCAAUAUUGACAAAGUGUUAUGAUAAUUAUUUUUUUGGAUAUUAUGCAUAAUAUGAUGUGAUUAAAUGCACAUGUGAUUUUACUAUAAGAUUUUAUUUUAUAGAGAAUCCUUUAAAAAAUAGGCUUCUAUGUUUUGAAUUCACUUAACUUGAGGUUUGUCACAUAAGUGAUUUAAAUUUAUGUUUAUAAUAUAUGUUUGUAUAUUGUUAUAAAAGGUGGUUUUAUUAAUGUUUGAAUUGAUUUUAUUUAUAAGGGUUGCAAUAAUUAUAGAACUUUCUAAAUAUUUAUUUAUAUUCAAGCAAGCUUUGGAAAUUUAUGAAUAAUUUUUAAGAAUGAAAUGUUAUAUAUCUGAAGUGGUAUAUACACUAAUUAUCAUGAAUUUUUUAUGGAUGAUAAGAUACAUAUGUGAUUUAAUUAGUUAUAUAAAAAUUAUUUGUUAUAUCUCAAAUAUAUAUAUAUAUAUAUAUAAUCAUCAAGAAUUAAAAAUUUAUAAUUAUAUUGUUUAUGAUUGAAUCAAAUAUAAAAAAAUUUGUAAAAAAUUAUAGAUUUAUUAAAAGUGAUAAAAUUGAUAUUAAGGAUACUCUAUCUUAAUGUCAAAUUUACAACAAAGAUAUUAAGUUAUUAUUAAAGAAAAAUACUUUCAUAAAAAAAUAAAUAUAAAAAGCUUUGAAAAUCAUUUGUUCAUAUUAACAAAGUAUUUGAAAGCUUUAGAAGUUGUAAGAAAGAAAGCUUCAAAUGUGAACUAUUAUUUUGUGAUGUCCAAUGCAUUUGUUUAAAAUAUGCAUUGUAAUGAAAGAAUGUGGAGUACCAUAUUGGUGUCAAGCACAUAUCUUUCAAAUAAAAAAUAAAGAGAUAUUUUUAGAACUAUUAGGAGAUUUGAAGUCUUAUUAUGAUAAAAUAAAUGAUAUAUUUUUAAAGAAAUGUCAAAAGAAGUUAAAAGAAAUUAUUGUAGUUUUGUUAUAAUUAUCAAAUUUUGAAGAAGAAAAUCAUGAUAAAGAAGAAAUAAAGAAAAGAUUGGCUUAUGUAAGUAAAGAUGUGCAAUCUAAAGAUUAUGAAUUGAAAAGAUAUUUAUUAUAAAGAUUGAAGAACUCAGGACACAUAUAUAUGUAUAUAUAUAUAUAUUUAAAAAUAUGUUAGAAAUAUUAAUUGAUUUAAAAAGUUUAAAAAUAAUAUAUAACAUUGAUAAUAGGUCUUUUACAAAAAUUUAUAGAACUAAGUGGAUAUGAAUUUUGAGUAUAAAAAAAUAAUAGAUGUUAAACUAAAAAAUCAAAAUUACAAAAAUUAGGCAUUGUCAAGGACGUGAACUAAAAGAUGAUGCAUAAACCAAUGAAAUCAGUAUCAAAGAAAGAGUGACAAAAUAGAAAUAAGAAAGUAUGUAUAUUAAUAAAAACUAGAAAGGCCUAUUGCCAAAAGACAAAAAAACUUGAUACUCUUGAAAUUAGACUUAAAGCAAAAAAAGAAUUAACAAGAGUGAAGAGGGCUUCACUCUUGUCUCUAUAUAUACCAUCUAACUAGGGACUAUGUGGCAAUGUUCUAUAGGACCUCCAAUAUGUGUUGACUUUAUAAGACACAUGCCUUGACUUACAUGGCAAGUUUCUCUAUGUGUGGGCCACAUAGUUAGCUUGGUCUUUAAGCUAACAAUAUGUGUGGCACAUGGCCAAUUUGUUGACCACGUUUCUAACCCAAAAAGUCAAUUAAAAACAUCUAUAAAGUCAAAGCAGCAUCUAUUAAGCUUUUAAGAAGCUUCCAUAGAAGAUAUUACAGAAUUAACUUACAUUUACCUACUUACUUUUACUUAUUUAUAUAAGUAAUUAUUAGCUUACAUGUGUAUGUCCGUGACAUUACCUCCCUUUCUAGGGACGAUGUUGUAUUACGUACUAUCUUGCUUGAGAAUGAUUUCAAUAUAAAUGCUUAAUCUCAAUACAGAGUGCUUAGAAACACUAUUUUUAAUAAAUUCAAGAUAUUAUAAGCAUAAAGUCUUUUGUUAUUUGUUAAUUUUUAUUUUUUAUUUUAUUUUAUUUUAGUUUUAAUCUUAAUCCUAGACAGCGAGCUUUGGCAAGCUGUAAUUCUCAAUCUGACCAUCUGAUUGUUGUAAACUUCUACCACUAAUGUCUUUGCAAGCCUUCUAAAUACUCAAGAAGUUUCAAUCUAAUCUAACUUACAAGUUGCAAAAAAAUGCCGUAAAUCCACACUAAUAUAUCUUGAUCAUCGCCUAAAAGUCCUCGACUUACCAUGCCAAAAAUCACCUUAUUCCAGCUGGUAGAUCCUCAUAUAUUAUAGAAACCCUAAACAACCCUAAUCUGCUAACUUUUGAUAUCUCUUUACACUAAUGGUUAAAUAUCCUCUAUCUGUUUUGUAAGAUUAACACAAACUUUUGCAUGCACUCGGCAUACUCAACCCUCUAGAUACCUCUAAAUUUCAACUGCAGAAAUUUCUCUAACUUCACAAAACAGUCAAAAGUACCAGCCUUAACUUUAAUGCAAAAAAAAUCCAAAUCACCAAUAUAAAAACAAACUUUCAACAAUGAUUACAAAAGUCAUCCCAAACCCUAUGAAAUCCAAUUCUACACCUGUCGAAGGAGCUUGAAGCUAACUCUCCGAUCCCAAAAUCCCGAUCUCUGAAUGUCCUCUUCUUUUUCCUCUUCUUUCCUUUAACUCCGCGAGAUCCCCCAUUCUUCCGCCCUGAACUCCGAAUUGGAACAGCAAACCCUCAUCCAUGGAAUUUUCGCCUCUAAGAGGAUCUUUCCAUGGAAAUGACGUUUCCUUGAAAUGACAUAAAGAACAAAACAAUUUGAAAUGGAACUGAAGCCUCCGUAUUCAGGACCUCAUUGGGUUGCCCAACUGAGUCUGGUCUCAUACUGGGUAAGAAGUCCGUAAUAGGACCUAGAUUGGAUGUCCCAAUAAUUGGGUCAAAUUGGCCCUUCACAUCAGACUCAUCCGAAUAUUGAAUUGGUCUUUUUCUCUUUUGCCAACUCUUGGUAAGAACGGCUUGGACUCAUUCCACUCGAUUUAUCGAAGAAUCUUGAGGACCUCAAUUUAUCUCCUCAAUUUUUCCUUGGCUUUAUAUCUGUUAAUCCCGAUUAUUGAAAUUGAACUAAGCAUUAUAUUGUUGAUAAGUAUGCCCCGACUACUUGCUAUUCCCACACACUAGAGCGUAAUUAUCACUGACUCUGGAAUUGGAACAUUCACUAGCAUAAUCACCAUUUUGUUUGCAAUGGUAACAACGAAGUAGUAUUCUUAUACCUCCAUCAGGCAUAUCGGGUAUCUCCACCGAUAUAUACCUACUAGGCUUGUUCCAUGUAGGAUUAGAAAAUGAUCCUGGUCGUCUCGUUGGUAAGGAGGAUACUUGGUUUGAUGACAUCGGUGGAGCAUACGCUAUUGUCACGUUCGGUGGUACAGCUGCAAUGAGGUGAAAUUAACUGGCCCUUGAAUAUUGGCACUAGAAUUGACUACUAUUUCUAACAUCCAAGAUGACUAAAUAUUAAUAAAUCUUUUUCAUUUAUAUUUUCACCAUAUAGUUGUGUUGCAACACGACAACAAGUUCUACAAAGAGCGAUAAUCAUAUGUUGAGGAAAUCUAUGAUGGGACGAAUUAUAUUUGUUACAUAUCCAAAUCUUUAUUCUCUUCAAAGUUGAUUGAUAGGGCCCCUCAACCAUCGAUAAUGUUUUAUAUUAGGGCGAGAAGACUAUCCUAUUAUUUGAUUGUUGUUGAGGCCUUCAUAUCUUCCUUCAAAUAAAAUAUUUGGAACACUAUCGAGAGUAGUUCCUACCUCUAAUAAAAUUACCAAACAUCGGGAGUCUCUUCCAAGGUCAUGAUACUAAAAGCUUUAUAUCUCGCCAUCUAUUUGACGAAAAAUAUUUCAUUUUUGAGGAUCUUCAUCUCAAUUGCAUUGUCUUGUAGGUUUUGAUAAUUUCAAUGUCUUGUCUUAUAAGUUGGAAAACAAAGGCUCUUUAGUUGAAUCUACUAGUUGUUGGUUUUCCAUCUCCUUAGCAUCAUAACUACAAAGAAGCUUCAAACAAGGAUUGAAAGUAGAAUGUUAUUUUGCCUAGAUCUUGUUUCUUUUGUAAGGAAGGUUUUUAUUUUGAUUUUAAUGGGUGUCGUUGAUAAAAAAACCUCCAUUGCAUUUAUUGUAUUUACAAGAUUCUUUACUAGCUCUCAUGUGUAUUCGCUAAUAUCAUAUCCGUGCCAAUAGAUAAGAUAUUCCAAUUUAUUUUAGUGUUGCCUUGAAUCUAGGACUUCUUCCACUUCAAACUCUUUAUUAUUGUCCAUUUUUAUAGGAGGAGAUGGAGCUUGUUUUCUUCUUCGUAUGUCCACUAUCUUGUAUGGUUCAAGAAGAGACAUGUGGAAUACUGAAUGGAUUUUUAUUGACUCUAGUAGGUGUAAACGAUAUGCAAGUAGAUUGAUUUGUACAGUAAUAAAAAAUGGUUCAAGUCUAUGAUAGUCCAACUUGUCACAAGGACGAGUGGUCUUGAUAUUGCGACGAAGUAACCAUACCUUAUCAUCUAUAGAAAAUGGUAUUUGUUUCAUUUGAUAGACAUCUACAUUGGUCUUUUGUUGUUCUUGAGCUUCUUUUAAUUGCCUCUUCAUUGUUGCAUAUAACUCUAAUAAAUGAUUUCUCAAAUCUUUCGCCAUAGGAUUAUCAGCUUUUGAAAAGUCAAAAGUAUUAAAUCGUGGAUGAUAACCAUAAUUGGCAAAGAAAGGUGUUUAUUUUGUAGAAGAAUGUACCAUGUUAUUAUAAGCAAACUCUACCAAUGGCAAAAAAGUUGUCUAAUCAUCUUGUUGGUAGUUGAUGGUACAUCUUAAAUACUACUCCAAAACUUGAUUAACAUACUCCAUUUGUUCAUCAGUUUGGUCAUGGAAUGCCAAAGGUAGUUUUAUAUCUACAUUUAAAAUCUUAAAAAGAAUCUGCCAAAAUCUUGAUACAAAUUGAGUUCCUCUAUCUGAUAUAAUAUCCUUGGAUAAUCUAUGAUAGCGAUAGAUAUUGUCAAGAAAGAGUUUAGUUGUUACUUCACUCAUGAUAGAUUUUGUAUGUGAAAAAAAUUGUGCCAUCCUGAUAAAACAAUCUACUAUCACGAAUACAAAGUCAUAAAAACUCCAGAUUAGAAGAUCCAUGAUGAAAUCCAUAGAAACAAAAGGCCAUGGUUGUUCAAGAAUAGGUAAUGGUUGAAGAAGUUUAUAAGAUCGAUGAUGAGGAGUUUUUGAUCUUGAACAAAUGUUGCAUGAUUGAACAAAGUCUUUUACACCCUUCUACAUUUGUGGCCACAAAAAAUCUCUGGAUAUAAGCUCCAAAGUCUUGUUGUAUCCAAAAUGUCAUGGUACUAGAAAGUUGUGAUGUACUUGAAGAACACGUAAUUGUGCUUCUCCUUUUGGAACAUAUAAUUAGUCUUCAAAAUAGAGUAGGUUGUUUUUGAAGUCAAACUAAGAAGAAUCUUGGGACUUAGAUGAAGGAUUCUUGAUAUUGUGAAUAAGAAGAUCAAAAGACAUACUUAUUUGGAUUUGUUUCACAAAGGUCAAAUCAACAAUCAAUAUUGAUUUCAUUACUCAAAGAUGAAAAUACUCUAGCUUCAAGAGAAUUUUUCUUUGUUCAUCAAAAGAUGCAUGUCUUUCUUUUGGUUUAAGAUUAGAACAUCUAGAAAGGGCAUUUGAUACACCUUGUUGUUUUUCGAGUUGAUAUGUGAUCUUGAAUUCAAAUCUUGAUAAGAACAUGCUCCAACAGGCUUGGCAAUGAUUUUAAAUACGUAUUGACAUAAAAUACUUGAGAUUCUUAUGAUCCGUAUAUACGGUGAUUAGUUUAGAAGCACCUUCUAGAUGAUGACGCUAUUCUUGAAAUGAAUUCACAAUUACAAGAAGCUCUUUAUUGUGGAUUUCAUAAUUAAUCUCGGAUGCUAAAUUUUUUUUCGAAUAAAAAGCUACUAAGUGAAGUUUAUCAUCUAUUUCCAUUUGUGAUAAUAUGGCACCAAAAGCAAAGUUUGAUGAGUCUAUUUCUUUAAAAAAUAUCUUGGAAAAGUUGAUGCAUUACAAGAUUGAUAGAGAAAUAAAAGCUCACUUCAAAGUUUUAAACGAUGCUUCAGCUUCUUUGCUUGAUUUAAAUUUGGCUUUGCAAGUCAAACGUAUAAGUGGAGCUGCAACUCGAGAGAAGUCUUUAAUGAAAAUCCGAUAAUAGUUGGCAAAGUCCAAAAAGCAUUGAACAUCUUUUACCUUUUUUAGAAUCUUCAAAUCCAUAAUCGUUUGAACUUUCUUAAGAUCCAUUAUAAGUCUAUCAUUUUAAAUGAUGUAUCUUAAGAAGUUGACUUGAGUAGUGUAGAAUACACAGUUUUCUAUCUUGGCAUAGAGUCUCACAUCUCUUAAUUUUUGUAACACACAAUAAAUAUGAAGUUCAUGUUCAUCUAUAUUCUUGGAAUAGAUUAAGAUGUCAUCCAGAUAAUAGACAACAAAAUCCUCUAAAAACUCUAAAAAACAUCAUUUAUUAGAUGUUGAAAAGCUUCCAGUGCAUUUGUAAGUCCAAAAGGCAUGACGUUGUAUUCAAAAUGCCCAUACUUAGUUCAAAACACAGUCUUUUAUUCAUCUCCUUCUUUAAUACGUACUAGAUGGUAUGCUCUCCCUUGAUCUAUUUUUGUGUAGAUCUUAGCUUGAUUCAAUUGAUCAAGAAAUCCGGAUAUCAAAGGUAGAGGAUACCUAUUCUUGAUAGUGAUCUUAUUGAAUCUUUAAUAAUCAAUAUACAUCUGUAAUGAUCCAUCUUUUUUCUUCACAAAUAAGAUUGGAAUUCUUAGUGGUGAUUUGGAAUGGUGUAUGAAAUUCUUGGCCAGAUUCUCUUCAAUAUAUUCCUUGAGUUCAACCAAUUCAUUUUGUUAUUAACUAUAGAUUGGUUCAAAUGGUGGUUAUAUUCAUUCUUGUAGGUCAAUUGAGCAGUCAUAGGGAUGAUGUUCUAAAAGAGUAUUUACAUUCUUCUUCUCAAAUACAUCUUAAAAUUAUUGAUAUUGGCUAGGAAUGCCACUUGAAGUCUUCACAUCAUUAGAAAUAAGUGUGGCGUAAAUGACACAAGGUGAUCCUUCUUUUGCAGCAUGCAAGAAAACUCUUGUACCUACAAACAUAGGUUUAAUUGCACUAGACUUGUAACUUUCUAUUGGAUUAAUUUCAUUCUUAAUUAUGUUUUUAGAGAAGUCAAGGAUACGAGAAAUCUAAUCUAUACAAGGAUUAUACUUUUUUAACUAUGAUAAACCUAAAAUAAAUGGAUAAGAGGGAGAUUUAAUUAUAUUAAAGAUUAUGCAACUACUAUGACCAUUUAUUGCUAGAUAUAUAGAAAGUAUUAUAUGAGUAACAUCUCCAGAAGACAACAAAUGACUAUCUAUGACUUCUAUAUGAACAAGUUUGAUUUUUUGUACUAACGAUAUUUUAUGACUUUUAACAAAUUCUACAUCUAAAAAACAAGCUGAGGCUCAUGAAUCUAUGAAGGCAGAGGCUUUAUAAUUAUUAGGUCCUAAAUACACAUCUAUUAUAAAACAAAGAGAGGGUUCUAAAGAGAAGAUAGGACCUUCAUUAGAAAUUGUAUAAGAUUCCAAUUGCAUGGUUUCAAUUAUAGUUAGACAAAUUCAUUUUCUAACACAUUAUCUUCUUUGACAAUAAGCUCUUGAUUUUGUGAUUUUGUUGCUUCUUUGGACAAUGUUGAGUAAUAUAUUUAGGUUCUCCAUAAUAUAAGCACAAUCCUUCUUGAUGGCAACGAGUCUUUUCUAGCUCAGUAAGAGGUUUAAAAUGUACCACAUCAAUUUGCAUAUCCUUAUCUUCUGAAUGUAUGUGUUGAAGAGAUGUUGGUGUUGCCAUUGAAUUGUAGUAACAUUGAGGUCUAUUUAUAUGACUCUCAAAUUGAAAUUCAAAAAGUCAAUUGUCACAUUUCACAACAAAGUCAAUUUCUUGACUCAAUAUUUGAGAAUCAUGUAAGUUGAGCAUCAAUUUCUUUACUUUAUAUUAUAAUCCAUAAAAAAAUUGGCUAAUAGGUGCAACAUCAUUCCACUUGAUAUUAGUUAUAAGUUGUCGAAACUGUGAAGUAUAUAAUGUUUCAAAUUGAUUGCUUUAUUAUAAAAUACAAAUCUUGUUGGUUGUAAUACGAGUUGCAUCAUGUUCUCCAUACAUGGAUUGGAAUUCUAUCAAAAAUGCCUCCAAAUAAUCUAAUAUUGGAUCUUGUCAUUCAAGAAAAGAUCAAAACUAUCAUAGUACUCAACUUAAAAGAAGUAUACCAAUGAAUCUAACUUGUGAUCCUGGAGUUGAAUAGCUUUGAGGUUGAAGUUCAAUUAUAAGUUGUACUUGAUUAAUAAAUCUUUGAAAUUUGGAUCUUGUACCAUCAAACUUCUUGGACAUGACAACUCUUGAUUUUCUAACACUUGAAGGAUGUUCCACCAUGGGUGGAAGGAUAUGAUUUGGUACAAAUGUUGAAGCAGCUCUAAUCAUCUCUAUAUUCUCAUUUCCUACCAUUCUUGUUGAUCCUUGUAGUGAUAAGCUAAGUUGAUGCAUCGCAAGCAUCAACUCUUCAAUUGCUCUUGCAUUUGUACCAUUGCGCUUUUCAAUUCAACAAGCUCUGCCAUAAUAACACUUAAAAAAAUAUCUAAUAUCAUUGAAGACAAGUACAAGAAAGGACUUGAAGAUAAAGAAAAUACUUAGAACAAUAUCAUUUUAGAAGAGGGUAAUCUUCAACUUCUAAUAUGCUUAUGUCUUAUCAUAAAAAAGGAGUAAUCGACUCUUAAUCAAGACAAGGCAAAGCUUUGAUAUUGUAUGAGUACUCUUAUCAAUCUGUCAAGGAUAUGAACUAAAAGAUGAUGCAUAAACCAAUGAAAUCAGUAUCAAAGAAAGAGUGACAAAAUAGAAAUAAGGAAGUACAUAUAUUAAAAGAAACUAGAAAGACAUAUUGCCAAAAGACAAGAAAAUUUGAGACUCUUGAAAUUAAACUUAAAGUAAGAAAAGAAUUGACAAGAGUGAAGAAGGCUUCAUUCUUGUCUUUAUAUAUACUACCUAAUUAGGGGCUACGUGACAAUAUUCUAUAGGACCUCUAAUAUGUGUUGACUUUGUAGGACACAUGUCUUGACUUACAAGGCAAGUUUUUCUAUGUGUAGGCCACAUAGUUAGCUUGGUUUUCAAGCUAACAUCCUAUGUGGCACAUGGCCAACUUGUUGACCAUGUUUCUAAUCCAAAAAGUCAAUUAAAGACACCUAUAAAGUCAAAGCAACAUCUAUUAAGCUUCUAGAAAGCUUUCAUAGAAGAUAUUAUAGAAUUAACUUAUUUUUACCUACUUCUAUUUACUUCUACCUAUUUAUACAGGUAAUUAUUGGCUUACAUGUGUAUGUUCGUAACAUGCAUUAUAGAUAGAUUAAGUCAUUUAAAUCUAAUCAAAUAUCAUUAGGUUAAAAAAAAUGAUACCAAUAAGCAUGGUAAGAAUAUAGUAAGAAAAAAUUGAAGUGAUAUUUUUUAUUUUUAGAAAAUUAAUAUAAAAAAUUUUGAAUGAAAUAUUAGAGCAAAAAUAUCAAUAUUAUGUUAUUUUUUAUUAACAAUAUUUAUUAAAUUACAAGAAGAAUAUAUUGUUUACAUGACAUAGAAAUAAUCUAUUAAGAUCUAUAGGCUCAUAAUUUUUUGUUGAAUAUUUUAAAUAAUAAUAAAUUUAAAAAUAGAUUUUAAUGUAUUUUUGUAAAAUUGAUUAAUUUUCGUAUACCUAAGAUAGAUGUGAGAAGGAAACUAAAGCUAAAAGCAAUGAUUAAAUAUAUAAAGCUUCAAGAUAUUUAACUUUAGAUGCAUUGAAAUAUACAAGAGAAUCAAUAAAGAUAUGUCCUAUUGAAAAGAAUGUAUAUUUAUUUCUAAUAAUAUAUUCUAUAAUUCUUUUAAGCAAAUAUCUAUGUAAUGGUGUGAUAAAUGAAGAAAAAGUAUCAAAUAGGAUUAACAUUUUAAAAGACAAAAGUUAUCUUUCAAUUGUAAUAAAAAUAUAGAAUUAAUAAAAAAAUAUUGGGCAUUGAAUUCUUCACAAUGACAAAGUCUUGAGGAUGUAUGUAAAAGACUCAAAGUGUUAAAAGAAAAAAUACUUAGUAGAAAUUGAUGAAGCUUAAACUUAUUGUACAUAGCAAAGGUAUCUUAGCUCUAUCAAUAAUAAGUUUUAGCUAUCAAUUUAUGUAUCAACGUUAUUAUGCAUUGAAAUAAAAAUUUGUUGGAUACAGAAGUACAUUAAUUGAGAAUAAAAUAUACAUGUGAUAAAUAUGUGAAAGUUUUGUAUUUUGUUAGUAUGGAUGAAAUAAAAAUAAAAAAAUUAUAAAGAAUUAUAUAGAGUAGAAGAAAUGACAUGUAUGACUUAUUAAUUUUUUUUAAAGUAUUGAAAAUAAUAUUUUUGGUCUUUCAAUAAUUUGCAAAGUAUUGUAGCAACUUAAUGUUUAAAGUAAGUUUAGUCAUGUUGUGCUUGUAGAUAUUUUACAUUCUAAUAAAGAGAGCAUAUUUAUCAUACCUACUCAUAAUUGAAAAGUGGUAAAUCAUUGUUUUAAAAAGUCUUAUGCAGUAGAUGUUGAAGGACUUAAUAAAAAUGAAAGAUUAUAUUUAUUUGUUAUUCAUUUUCAAAAUAAUAAUAAAUUUUUUAAAAAAUAUAUUAAUUUUAAUAAAAAAAUUAUACUAUCUUCUAAUAAUUCACCAUUAAGUCUUUUAUUUUUAAUUUUUCCAUUUGAAAAAAUAUAUACAUGUAUAUUUAUUAUUAUUAUUAUUAUUAUUAUUACAAUAAUAAAAUUGCAGUAGCACUUUUUUUGUUUUCAUGAUUAUUUUUAUUGCAAAUAAAACAUUCUCUUUUUCUUUAAUUGCACUUUAUGGAAGAAAAUAGUAGACAAUUACUUGAAUUGUACGUAUCACUCAAUUUGAAACGAUUAAGACCUAAAAAUAUGUGACAUCUAACAUUACUGCUGAUUGCUAAUCGUAGCAAUAAAGAGAAAAAACAGUGACACCCACAACAGUUGGAGCCUACAAGAAACAAUCAUCCUCUGCCAAUAAUCAUAUUUGAAUUCAUUGCCUCUUACAAAGGUUCAAAUCCCCAAAUCUAAUCAAGUUAAGCCAUGAGACAAAGAACUAUGAUUCCAAGUACCUUAUUCAGGCAUAAGAAUCUUCAAAAAAUAUCAAAGUUGAGUCCUAUCAGUGUACAUCGAUGAGGCUCACUCUGGCACAUGAAAAGGAAAUACAAGAUCGUUUUGUGUUUCUACAUACACUCAACGAUUCAUUGUGUCUUCAGUUUGCUUGAUAGAUACAUUGCCAGGAACGGUUCAUUAGAUCUUAAUUAGCACCAUCCAAUGUCAGGAAUGGGCCUUUGCGAUAUACAUGUUUAUAUUAUAUACACCUGCUACCUUUCAAAACCGCGUGUUUAAUAUGACUUGACCGAUUGAAUAUGCAUCAUUUAGUGCAUUUUUCAAACUACGUUCGAGUUGGUUCAGAUACGGCGGUUAAAACAAGGAGGUACAGCAGACGCUCCACAACCAUAUCUGCAUUGAGGAAUCAGAUUGACACAUACGAUAUUGGUCUGGCAACAAUUUAAUUCAUCAUUCCAUUGUGUCGUUAUGAAACAAAUUUCUCACCAAAGCUGAUUUCCUACAACAUACCAUAAAAUAACAAGCUACACAAAUUUCCGAACAGAAGACAAAUACGGAUAGCAAAUAGUUUUAAAUGACAGCAAAUCGUACUAAUCCAUCCCAUCGAGGUUAAAGAACGGCUUCUGCACGCGUGCCCAUCAGAUGCAUUCGACAAAGUUCGAGAGCCAGUGAAUGACAUGGGAAGAAUAACACAGAGUCGCUAUGAUUGUUUUCACGAAUAUACAAGUAUUGCAGGCCAGGCUGAGGUCCACAAGCAUUGCAUUACAGUCCGACAGUGCAAGACGCUCUUCAAGCAUAAAAUGUCCCCAACAUUCUACCCGAACCUACAAGAAAGAAUGUUAAAACAAAAACUUAAACGCCGCGGAUGCUAAAUCCACAAAAACAUAAAUGGUAGGCAAAAUAAUGAGGACAAGCUCAAAAGCCACGAAUCUAACUUGUGAUGCAUACUUUCAAAGAUGGAAUUGCACCAAGAAGGUCUCGACAGCGCUGGCUCUUUACUCGAGUAACCAUUCCCUUGCAACCCCUGAAAAAUCAGUCUCUCACUGGCCUCUUCGAGCUGCUCAGCUACUACAAAUAAACUCCAUAACCCCACCUGACAAGGUGUGAUAGCAUUUCAGGAGACAGGUAUGCACUAGCUUAGAAGCACUUUCUGUGCACAAUCGAUGGACCCGACUCGUCAUACUCGCUCUUCGCGAUCCACAUCUGCUGGAACGUACUCAGCGAGGCCAAGAUCGACCCUCCGAUCCACACACUGUACUUCCUCUCCGGAGGUGCCACCACCUUGAUCUUCAUGCUCGACGGUGCCAGUGCCGUGAUCUCCUUGCUCAUCCGGUCUGCGAUCCCCGGGAACAUCGUCGAUCCUCCCGACAGCACAAUGUUCCCGUACAGAUCCUUUCGGAUAUCCA
rnacentral:lncRNA from 1 species